rnacentral:rRNA from 1 species
UACAGAGGCCUCGAGCGUUAGGCGGAAUCACUGGGCUUAAAGCGUGUGUAGGCGGACUUCUAAGUACCUUGUGAAAUCCCACGGCUUACCCGUGGAACGGCUGGGUAUACUGGGAGUCUUGAGCCACCUAGGGGCGAGUGGAACAAAUGGUGGAGCGGUGAAAUGCGUAGAUAUCAUGUGGAACGCCAAUGGUGAAAACAACUCGCUGGGGGUGUGCUGACGCUGAGACACGAAAGCCAGGGGAGCGAACGGG